AAUCAACGCUGGCGGCGUGCCUCAGACAUGCAAGUCGAACGCGAAAGUUCCCUUCGGGGGAGUAAGUAGAGUGGCGUCCGGGUGAGUAACACGUAGGUAAUCUACCUUUGGGUGGGGAAGUAACAACCGGAAACGGUUGCUAAUACCGCAUAAUGCAGCGGCACCACAUGGUGACAGUUGUUAAAGCGGGGGAUCGCAAGACCUCGCGCCUAAAGAGGAGCCUGCGGCGGAUUAGCUAGUUGGAGGGUUAACGG
rnacentral:rRNA from 1 species